rnacentral:lncRNA from 1 species
GUAAGUCAAGCUGUGGAGGGACUGGGUGUGGCUGAGCCCCGUGACAAGUGGGAGGAGCCAGGGAUGCUUGGGAGGGGAGGCACUGUGCGCGAGAGAGGAGGGAAAGGGGAAGCGUUCGUGCCUCUCUGCCCCCUGUCCCCCUCUUGCUGCAUAGUAGCCACAUCCAUGUCUCUUGUACCCUGCAAUCUGGAGGCCACUGCCAGAAGCUGGAAAUCUCAAGUAGAGCAGCAAAAGGAGCCUCUGGGGCUGGCACAGCCCUCACUGCCUACAACCUGGGCCUGGUGGUUCUCCUAGGGUGCCUCUGGGAGAGGUCAUGGUCACCCCGCUGCUGGCUAACUGCAGCUACUUCUGCCAGCCAGUGGACUACAGAUGGAGAAAGCAUGGAAUGAGGAUGGCGAGCGUGUGCUGCUGGUGCCUCUUUCCAAAGGACGUUGAAUUGCUUGACAGCCCUGCCCAGCAUCUAGAAGACCACCUGAAGCUUUCACACUUUGAGACCUUAGAUCCUGCGAGGGUUUGAAUUUCAAAAGCUUCAAUUAAAGCACACAGUGUUCUUUACUUUAUGAAUGAAGCCAGAGCAGCCCACCUUCCUGCAUCUCUACCACCAUGGCACCAUGCCCUGUGAUGGGUGGGCUGGAGUCAAAUAUGUAGCAGGCAGCCAGGGUCAGUUUGUGGCCACUGCUGCCCCCUCUUCCUACAGUCUCCUCACUGAGUGCCCCUUCCCUGUUGGGUUCAACACAUCUGUGCUCCUGUAAGCCCUCAGCCUCCUCGUUCUCUUCCUCAACUUCUACCACCAGACACAUCUGAGAAGCAAGCAAGAGAGGCUGAACUAGGAGCAGGACCCAGGGACUGAAACCAGCACAGCAUCCCCACAGAGAAUUGGGUGGAAGGCAGCAUGGCUUCCAGCUUACUGGUGCUGAGCAGAUUGCUCUGGGUCUCCAUUGUAUCCUCUGAAGGAAGGAGGAGGAUUGCCUUCUGUCCAGAUCUCAGGAUCAAACAAAUAGGUCCAAUUUCCUGUGCUCACUUCAGUUAGAGCACUUCUCAUGUGACUUUGUAGCUUUGUGUGCAUCUCCUUCCUCUACUAGACCUAAGCCCCUCACGGGAGGGACUCUCUUAUUCUUGAUGUUCCCCACACCUGGAAUUUCAAUAAACAUCUCAAUAAACGUGUGUGUUUGGAUCCUUGGAUCCCAUGACUGCCGUCAUAACCUUGGUGAAGAAGAGGGCUGGGAGUAGGAAAGAGGUCAAGGUUCGCUUGAUCUCUAACCCUAUAGUGGGAAAUUGUGACGGAGAAUAUUCAAGAGUGGGUGUGGGUCUGUUUGAUUUCAGGUGUAGCUGUGUAAAUAGUUAGCCCUGCAUAUAUUUUUGUCUACUCACAACUGCCUGCAUGUGUAUUCAUAGAGUUGUGUGAUUCUGUGUAUGUGCCUGGGGAGUGGGAGAGGGCCAUGUGCACAUGUCUGAAUACUUGUUUUCAAAUAUACAUGCAUGUUUCCAUUUGGGUUUCUCUCCAUUUGUGUUGUUUGCCUGCCUCUUCUGUAAGUCUCUGAAAGUGCCACAUUGGCAAAUAAAAGCCACUGGGAUCAAUAAUUCUCCUGUUCUGAUGGGAGACAUGGAAGCCCACUGAGAAAUCUCCGAAUACAUGUUCCACUAAGAGCUUCCAAAAAUAAAUGGGAAAAAAGGAGAAAUGGGGCACACCCAUCUUCUUCACAGAGAGGGAAACUGAGGACCAGCAAAGGGGAAUAUAUGACUGAGAUACUAUGGCAGAAGCAAAUAUUGGCUGAGCUGUUCAAACCCAGAAUAGGAUGGGUUUCUUGAAAGCAGUUUGCCUGGGAGCUGUCUCUAUGUCUCCAGUAUGAUGACUUUUCUCCUUUAUAAUUGCCCUUCGGCUGUUUUUCAUCUCUAGGUAAGUUCUUAUUUUGCCAUGCCUCAAUAGUCAAGAAAAUUAAAGAAUUGCUGAAGGUUAUGCAGUGCUAUUUGGGGACUGUGUCUCCAUCUGGCCUUUUAGUUAAUCAACCCAAGGCCAGGCAAGGCUACAUCCUGUGGACAGAAUACUCAGAGAAAAUUCC